GAGACCCUGACUCAUCACAGAGAAAUUCAUUGGUGUUGCGGACACCGCCACUGCUCCCGGCGCCAGUCGAAGCGUUGAAAGGUUUAAACGCGUUUUUUGACCGGCUUGGGAUCGAAUGCUUUUCGAAAUCGUGACCGUUUUACAUUUCCAAAAGCCAGCUUGAAUAGUGCUUCGGCGCUGUCUGGAAUGUCGUGUGCACAAGCGAAAUGCCAUAGAUAUGAGGCUAUCAGAUUGGGACAGGAGUGGCCAUGUCUGUUAGCGGAGGUCUGAGGAGGUUUGAGCCAAUACAAGGUUUCAGACCUUUAGCUAUGAAGUGCCUGUUUCAGCUUGGUAGACCAUUUAAAGGGAAGUGCGACAAUUUAAAUGAAAAACAAACAGGGAUUCUGCAUUUUACAUAUUAACCGUAAGAGUUGAAUAAUCAAAUAGUGAAGUCUGUGUUUGGCAUCAAUUAGUAAAACUAGAGGAAGUAGCUCUAAGGGUAGUAUGGCCCUUUUCAUUAUUUGGUAGUUGUGGAUCCAGAAUGGAUGACAUUGUCACAUUAUCACAUUGUUGAGCUGUAGGCAAAGAGACGUGUUAAUUACUGAUUGAUUACUAGCUAUUUGUAACGUAUUAAUUACUGAUUGAGUACUUGCACUGCAAUUCUGAGGCCUCAGGUGAACAGUUGCUAACCUCCACGCCUCCUAGCCUCUCCAGCCAGAGGGGCUGCAUCCAAGAAGCGGUCUGUGUGAGGGCCAAGUCCUCUAGAAUCAACAUGGCUGAUAUGUCUUGUCAGAUACGCUUCUGCACAUGAAUAAAACCAAAGUCCAAAUGUAUUUUAUGAUGAUGUGGGUUUUUUUUUUUUUCUUUCAGUGGCUUUGGGGAGGAUUUGGAUGGACUUCUACUAUUAUGGCCCUUAGUUCCUUUCUCUGUAAAGCUGACAAGUCGGCGUCGGCGUCGGCGUAUUGAAUUGUUGGCGGAGGCGCAGCUCCUCCACGCCGGAGCAUCACAUGCCGGUGGCGAGAGCGCCGUCAUAUCUUAAUACAUCCUCGGGCCUCGGCAAGGCAACACAGGAUGUUUUGGACCCCACUGGAAGGCUUAAAUUAGACACC
rnacentral:lncRNA from 1 species